CACUGUAAAGCUACCAAGCAUUAACCUUUUAAGUUAAAGAUUGAGAGACUUCCCUCUCUGCAGUGA
rnacentral:tRNA from 3 species